CCUACGGGAGGCAGCAGCGAGGAAUCUUGGUCAAUGGGCGCAAGCCUGAACCAGCGACGCCGCGUGGAGGACGAAGGCCCUCGGGUCGUAAACUCCUUUUGCGUGGGAAGAAGAUCUGACGGUACCACGCGAAUAAGCCACGGCUAACUACGUGCCAGCAGCCGCGGUAAU
rnacentral:rRNA from 1 species